GAUUCCAGAUCAGUUGGUUAGAGCGCUGCACCGCUAUCGCAGGGCUGCAGGUUCGAUUCCUGCCAGGGACCU